rfam:Ictidomys tridecemlineatus contig086333, whole genome shotgun sequence.
AGGGGUGUAGCUCAGGGACAGAGUGCUUGUCUAGCAUGCAUGAAAACCUAAGUUCAAUCCCUAGCACUGUGA